rnacentral:rRNA from 1 species
UACGUAGGGAGCGAGCGUUGUCCGGAAUUACUGGGCGUAAAGGGCGUGCAGGCGGCACUACAAGUAUGCUGUGAAAGAACACCGCUUAACGGUGGAGGGUCAGCGUAAACUGUAGAGCUAGAGAGGUAGAGAGGUUAGCGGAAUUCCCGGUGUAGUGGUGAAAUGCGUAGAUAUCGGGAGGAACACCAGAGGCGAAAGCGGCUAACUGGCUACAAUCUGACGCUGAGGCGCGAAGGCUAGGGGAGCAAACAGG